rnacentral:rRNA from 1 species
UACGAAGGGUGCAAGCGUUACUCGGAAUUACUGGGCGUAAAGCGUGCGUAGGCGGUUUGUUAAGUCUGAUGUGAAAGCCCUGGGCUCAACCUGGGAAUUGCAUUGGAUACUGGCAGGCUAGAGUGCGGUAGAGGAUGGCGGAAUUCCCGGUGUAGCAGUGAAAUGCGUAGAUAUGCGGAGGAACACCGAUGGCGAAGGCAAUCCCCUGGGCCUGCACUGACGCUCAUGCACGAAAGCGUGGGGAGCAAACAGG